GAAGAGUGGGGGCAUUGGUGAUGCAAGUUCGGGGAGGAGCCAGCCCAGGCGCGUUCCCUCAGCCUGGCUCACUGAGACACACACCAGCCCGCCCUCUCUCUCCAUAUCAGGACCGGAGCCGCCCGGGAUAGCCGCCAGAUGUGCGUACUCGCUGCUGCGUGUUCCAGGCAUGACCAAUGGUGCCCAAGCCAGCGGCAUGACUCCACCGCGCUGGCAUCUCUCCCUCCGCUAGGUUGAGGAGCGGGGGGGCGGGGAAGGUGGGGAGGCGGGUCCCGGCCCCAGCCCAGACUAGGUGAGGCUGGGAAGCGGGCACGACCUUUCUCUAAAAUGCGUGGUCAUUUUCUGGAGCUUCAGGAAAACACCCCCUCCCCCACUGGCCUCCUACUUCUCUAGCAGGGGCGGAGUAGGGGCAGAAGCGUUAGUCUGUGGUUUAGGGAAGGUGUCCAAAGUCACCCUUCGGUGUAUCCACGCCGUUACCCGCCGGGUGUGACCUCCGCGGCGGGGACCGCGAGAAGCCCGCCGGUUAACACAAAAGCGGAGGGCAGCCCUCGGCUGGCACCGUGCGCCCGAGCCCGCAGCCCCGGACACUCCACAUGGACGCACACGCAGGACAGCUCCGGGCUCCGAGACUAGGGCAAGUGGUAGGAUCGUAUCGGUUCGAUUUUUUUUUUUUUUUUUUUUUUUUUUUUUUUUUUUUACAAUCACAAAGCGUUUGAAAUUGACAAGAACGUGUCAGUGAAACCAACAAGAGCGUGAAAAGAUCGGAGUCCGGGAGGAAUCAGAGGCAACCCCGUGGGAGGGUAGGAGGGGGCAGAAGCCAGCGGCCAGGAGGAGGGGGAAAGAGAAGGUGCUUUGGGGUCCGCGAACCUGCCCAGGCCUGGGGGUCGCCCCGCUCUCAGGCAAUAUUUAGGGAAAACCCAUCUUCAGCUUUCACGUGUUCUUCUGCUCCCAGAGCCGAUUGGGCUGGGACCGGACGGCCCGGAAUGGGGACGCACUGACCACAGGAGGAACCAGCAGCAGAAAUCCCCUCUGCCCUCAAGCCAGGGUGGCGGGAAAGGCGGGGCCCCGUGGUCCGAGAUUCGAGCUGAGACCUCAGCAGAACUGGGUUUGAACCUUAAAAACGAUUUCCUGGUUCUUAUUCCCCGACCCCAACAAUUUCUGAUCAGAGAGCGGCAGAACCAGGAACCUUCUUGACUGCCCGUGGAUGACUAUUUGUGGGCACAAGUGUGGCCCGGGACUUUCGCACCUGCCUGGGAGGGAGACCUGCGCGGCCGCAGGGUGUGGGGACACGGCGAAGGACAGAAACACCUGCUCCUUUCCACCUGCCUCUGGGAGAGAGGCGACCGAAGGUCAUAGUUUGGUAAUUUGGGGUAGAAACUAGAGAUGUCUGGAGCCCGGGUCUCACUUGAAGUCCCCAGUUCCCCCCACUGGGGUUCCUCGCCGCCAAGCCCGACCUCACUCAGACUACCCACCUCCCCACCGGCCUGGGAACAGGCGGAGGGCGGCCUCAGAAGUCUUUGCGCCCCGGCGGGCCCGGGAGCCCUGGGGUUCCACGCGGGAUCCUCGGAGAUCCUGCUGUGGACCUGACCCGAUUUCCAGCGGCGUCGCGCGGGAAGGGCAGGGCGGGUGUUUUCGCUUUACUUUUCGCCCUAGUAACGGCUCUCCCGGCCCCACCCUCCGCUUCCACGCCCUGACCCCCGCGCGCCGCUCAGCACACCUCCACAACCCGCCUUCCCGCUGGAGUGCGCGCAGAUUGUCCUGGAAUCAAUAGCACCAUUAUAAAGUGAAGCAAGGAGAGGAGAGAGAACAGGUGAAGCUUUUUACCCUUUUUCUGCUGUGAAACAGAAAUUUUGACCAGUUUACAGUUUGGAAUCUCCAAGUUACACCUGGAUAGAAACGCUGUCAGCUGUUCACAGAAGUCUGAUCCUGACAUUCUAAACCCGAAAAGUGAUAAGAAUCUUGACAGAGAACUAAGUCCACUCCCCACUUGAAUGAAACUCUUAUCCAGGGAAAACAAAAACUAUUCCUGCCUGCCUCCCUCGCCUCAGCCCCCAGGAGAACCGUGAAAUGCCUGCUGAAUUGAGAGACUGGAAAAGAACAGAGCAAGGCAGAGCCCCUGAGGUCUUUGCCACAGGAGAGUGAUCAACAUCUGAGUCCUUUGCAUCCUCAUUUUACCCUGACUUAAGUGAAUGCCACCAAUGUCCAGUGUGCACACUCUCAGCGCACACACAGGCAGUGCCAUGCAGGGGAGGGGACAGAAAAGCUUUCCACACCAAAACUCUUCUCGACGCAAACCAAAGAAUGGCUGUCUCGCCUUAGAAGGAAGCCCUGGCUAGGGUGAUUUCAGGGGUUAAUCCUCAAUGAAAGAGGGUUAAGCAGAGACUUGAAGAUUGCUGAGGUUUUAUGAUGGUGAACUGCCUGGGGAAUCCACAUUCAGAUCAGCUUUGGUAUGUUUUGCUGACUGAGAUAAGAGUUGGAGACUUCAUGCUGGGACAUGUGCAAAAGGAAGGGAAAAAAUUAAAAGGGGAGGGGAAGGAACUAGGAGACUAAAAACAGCCCACUCGUGGCAACCAAAUCUAAACAGAAAAACAUUGCAGGGAGCCAAACGCAAAAUAAAAAACAAAAAAGUUCGAGACAUUUAAAGGUUCUAGCAGUUUCUUAGUUCAGUGCACAGUCCCUUCCCACAUUCCUCUGCCCCAUUACUCUAUUCUCUAAACCCUAAGACUGUAUUCGUGCCCAGAAUGCUUGAAACACAAGAUAAGAUCCGCCAGAGAAGCGGCAGAGUACUAGCAGCUCCGUCUGCCUGGCUCAACCUACUUCUUCGCUUUGGAACGGGGAGUGGAGUCGAUUUUCUUAUACUUUAUUCUGUUUCCGAAGCCCACUCUUUCUACAAAGUCAGUUUGAAUGUGGGGAUUGCUAGUUUAAUAGUGUCCAAAAUCGGCAUUGUCAGGAAACAGGGGCAGCAUCACACAGUAGGCACCAACGUGUGGAAGGCACUUGGAUUCUGGAUUCAGCACUUAGAUGCUGUGUCACCUUAAGUAAGUUAUUUCCUCAAAUGAAAAAUGGCACUAACAAUAGCACCUAAUGCGUAAGAUUGUUGUGACAUUUCUCUGAGGAUGUGGCACCCAGUCAGCCCUCAGUAGUGGUAUCAUUAAUUAAUUAUGAAUCAGGAAAAGCUUUCUGAGGUACCCUUGAAUCUCUCCAGGAACUCAUUCAGUACCCCUUGUCAGUGGCAAAUAGUGGAUGAAGUCAAGCGCUCUCCAGGAAUGACAAUCAUGAGGGGGCAGGAAUGAGAGCCCCGGCAGACACUGAUGAGAGCAGUCUUCGUUCCCCAUCACAGCAACUCCACCACACACCUGGGGCUCUCCUCAAUGUUGGGUGGCCCUGCCAAGUAUACUGGGCUAGGAGCAGGGGAUUUGGGUUCGGGGUCUGGUUCUGUCUUUGGUAUUCUUGAGCAAGGCACUCCCUCUUUCUAAGGCUCCCAACUUUUCUGAAGUGAGGAGCCUUGGGCUGAGCUCUGACGGUCCUGAAUGGGGACCCUCUGCCAAAGCCACCCUAUGAGCCUCUGGCAACUUUCCCUAACAGAGAUGGGGAGAGAGAAGACAUCAUAGGUAAGGCACUAAAUAGCACAAGGACAGACCCAUUUCUGCAACCUUUCUUCCCCUCCAAAAACUAGAGUUAAGAAAUGUUGUCCAACUUAAACACAGCCUGUCCUUCUCCCACCUCCAAUACUUCCAAGAGUUUUCAACCCCAUGGACUAGGUGCCUUGUGAGAGAGGGGCAUGGCAGAACACCCCAGGCAUGGAUUACAUCUCUGGGGACUUCUUGUGUGUAGCCCAUCAUCAACAACCAUAGACAUCUACCUUGGUCUACAGGGCCAAAACCCACAUAGCAGAUAUUCCCAUUUGAGAGAUUGAAUCCUGGAGACCCCAGAAUCCAAGAUGAAGUCCUGGAAGUCAGUGGAUUAGCAAGACUCAGGAGACCUGGGAUUCAUCCACAGGUUUACCUCCAGUCAACUGAGUGAGUAUACAAGUCAUAAACACGAUGUCUCAGUUUCCCAGUCUAUAAAAUGGAACUACUUAGCAUUGACUCCCCCUAGGUUGUUGUAAGAAUCAAAUGAGAUAGUAGAUGUGAAAGUGAUUUGAAAAUAAAAGAUUCAUGGUUUUAAAGAUUUCUUUGGGGAAAGUUUUACUGUAAUUUUUUUGUCAUUAUGAAAAUUUGGGAAACAGACAAGAGAAAAAUAUUACCCACAAUGUCAACACUA